GUAAAAAAUCCAACUCGCAAAAAGUUUAAACAACUAUUUUUUAUUAGUUAACUGGACAAUAAAACAAAAAAAAGUUGACUUAACAAGUGGGAAUAAGUUGGUUCAAAAAUUGUAUAACCAACUUACAUUUAACCGUUGACUGGAUAUACACAUGCAAGUUUAAAAGCACACAAGUUGUUUUUGGUUGUUGGCGCAUGCGCACUGUAGCCUAUGUGGACGUUGGAGCUCAUGUGGAUUGUGGAAUAGCGCCAAACUUCAUCGUUUAAAGUAAGUAUAUUUUUCUGUGUAUUUGAAACUGAAUUUAAGUAAUGUAAUAGCGCUGUGCAAUCUUAUUUUAAAGCAAGUUUUCAUGAAAUAACUAAUCAAGGAGAAAAUAUGUUGGAAUACCGGUUUUAUAUCUUGCAAAUCUUAAACUUAAUGUUUUCAAAUCCUCGCUAUAUCCAACACAGUUAUUGGAAAUAAUGUGCGAUUCGUCUCAUAGACUUAACUCAAAAUGUAAUUGUGUUGUUUUACAUCAUAAAAACGUCAUUGCAGCUCACGUGGAAUGAUAGCGCCUUGCACGAACAGGACAAACGUAACGUUAAUCUUCUCAAAUUUCAUCGUUAGAAGUAAGUAUCUUUAUUCUGUGUGUUUUGAAACUGAAGUCCUAUUUAAUAAAUGUAACGUUAAUGUCACUGGGCUAACGUCAACGUAUUUUAAAGCAAGUUUGCAUGAAAGAGCUAAUCAAGGAGAAACUGUCGCAAUCCCGGUUUUAUAUCUUGCAAAUCUAACGUAAUGUUUUUAAAUCUUGGCUAUAUCUAACACAGUUAUUAGAAAUAAUGUGCGAUUUGUCACAUAAACUUGACUUAAUGUUUAUUGCAUCACAGAAAACUCUGUUGGAGCUCACGUGGAAUGGUGGCAUUUUGAUCUUCAGUAAAACGUGCAGCACGAGUUUGCAACAAACUUCAUCGUUUAAAAAAACUCUGUUGGAGCUCACGUGGAAUGGUGGCAUUUUGAUCUUCAGUAAAACGUGCAGCACGAGAUCGCGACAAACUUCAUCGUUUAAA